GAUUGUCAAAACCAUUUAAAGACAAAUGCUUUUUUUCUUUUUUAGAUAUUGUUGAAAUCACUGCUCGUGUGUUCUCAGAUCAUGAGGAUGGAAUUGAUGCUGCCAUUGAAGAAGUCAAAUUAAAACUAGAACAAAACCAGUCAAAUGUAAGCCAUCAACAUCAUCAGACAAAUGCUGCAUCCUUGGCUUCUUUAACACUUCAAGAAAAUACAGAGGGAAAUGAUACUGUUGAUUAUGCAAGAACCAUAGAAAAGGAAAUCCCUGCCGCCGAUGAAGCAAAACAUUUGACAGAGAAAGACAAAGGAAUCCACCAAUGUCAUGGCACUGGUUGAUGAGCUACGCAAGAUGAGGAUGGUUACCGGGGAAACCUAUUCUAUCAUUGAAGAAACAAAAACAAAUCAGGACAAAAUGAGGGAGAUUUUCCGAAUGGUCUUACGUCAAGGUGAUAUGGUCAAAGCUGCCUUCUAUGACGCAUUGAAAAAACACGAACCACAUAUACUAAACAGUCAUGAUGGCAGCUGAUGAUGCAUCAGAAGACCAAAGGUUUUGGUGUUUUUGUUUCUUUUAUUU